UCGCCCUGAUGUCGGGCUCAGAUUGUGUUGCUGGUAGUUGUAUGGCUUCUGCAAGCACAAGCUCCCAGGAAGUAGGUGCGUUAGUCUGCUGUCGCUGCUCUUCUAUAUUUUUCUUUGUUACUGUUUCUUGUUCUUGUCCAGACCAAUCUUCUAAGCUUAUUAGAUCAGACAUUGUAUUAGUAAUCGGUAACGAAUGAGUUGAGUCUGAUUCACUCAUUUGGAAAGUGUCAUUUCUAUCACUCUGCUGUUUAAAAUUAUCAGGAUAAGCUUCCAAGUCUAUAGAUAUACCUUGACUUGUUCCGUCUUUUGUGGCAUCAAGUAGAUUCUCCAAUGACGUCUGUUUUGGACCCAACUUAGAAGCUCUGUGGGAACUUUUACGUCUAGGAGGUUUUGUAGAUUCAAGAUCCCUCUCAUAACUUUCUUGCGGUGUUUGAUUAGAAUUUGGC
rnacentral:lncRNA from 1 species